rnacentral:rRNA from 1 species
AUUGAACGCUGGCGGCAGGCCUAACACAUGCAAGUCGAACGGUAGCACAGAGAGCUUGCUCUCGGGUGACGAGUGGCGGACGGGUGAGUAACGUCUGGGAAACUGCCCGAUGGAGGGGGAUAACUACUGGAAACGGUAGCUAAUACCGCAUAACGUCGCAAGACCAAAGUGGGGGACCUUCGGGCCUCACACCAUCGGAUGUGCCCAGAUGGGAUUAGCUAGUAGGUGGGGUAAUGGCUCACCUAGGCGACGAUCCCUAGCUGGUCUGAGAGGAUGACCAGCCACACUGGAACUGAGACACGGUCCAGACUCCUACGGGAGGCAGCAGUGGGGAAUAUUGCACAAUGGGCGCAAGCCUGAUGCAGCCAUGCCGCGUGUAUGAAGAAGGCCUUCGGGUUGUAAAGUACUUUCAGCGGGGAGGAAGGCGGCGAAGUUAAUAGCUUCACCGAUUGACGUUACCCGCAGAAGAAGCACCGGCUAGCUCCGUGCCAGCCGCCGCGGUAA